GACGUAGGAGGCGAGCGUUGUCCGGAUUCACUGGGCGUAAAGGGUGCGUAGGUGGUGGGGUAAGUUUGAGGUGAAAGCUCCGGGCUCAACCCGGAAAUGGCCUUGAAGACUAUCCUGCUCGAGGGUUGGAGGGGGGACUGGAAUUCUCGGUGUAGCAGUGAAAUGCGUAGAUAUCGAGAGGAACACCAGUGGCGAAGGCGAGUCCCUGGACAACACCUGACACUGAGGCACGAAAGCUAGGGGAGCAAACGGG
rnacentral:rRNA from 1 species